rnacentral:rRNA from 1 species
CCUACGGGUGGCAGCAGUGAGGAAUUUUCCGCAAUGGGUGAAAGCCUGACGGAGCAAUGCCGCGUGGAGGAAGAAUGCCUUCGGGUUGUAAACUCCUUUUCUCAUAGAAGAAAAAAUGACGGUAUAUGAGGAAUAAGCAUCGGCUAAUUCCGUGCCAGCAGCCGCGGUAAUACGGGAGAUGCAAGCGUUAUCCGGAAUUAUUGGGCGUAAAGAGUUUGUAGGUGGUCGAGUGUGUUUAAUGUUAAAUGUCAAAGCUCAACUUUGAAAGUGCAUUGAAAAC